rnacentral:Y_RNA from 1 species
GGCUGGUCCGAUGGCAGUGGGUUAUCAGAACUUACCUAAAGUUAGGAUAACUAACUUACUUUAAAAGUUAGCAUCACUAACCCCCCACUGCUAAACUUGACUGGCUUUUA